CGUAUGCGUUGGAGUGCUUCGUCUGUUCCAAUCAGCCCCAGAUGAACUAGGAUGUCCCGGUUGGAAUGCCAUUCGAUGUGUAUGAUUAUAACAUCCUGAAGAUUGAUUCUGCACUUAGUUUGACCAGUUUCGUCGACCUGUAAUAUGUAAUUUGGAAGUUUUGAUGCAAAAUUAUCCUGGACCAGAAGUAAUUUUUUGGGCAUUUGAGCUGAAAGUGGUAGCAGAUGCUGCUACAUGGACACUAGAAUUGAACAUUAUGAAACAAAACGAUUUAUUGUUGAACUAGGACUCCUUGUACUACAUUCUGAUCGAAGAUCAUCAAAGCUGACGGGCCAGUGGGAAAUUAAUUCAGCCAUGGCAUUGUCCUUGCUGGGGACAUGGCUGAUGGUGAACCUGUAAAGGCUGUAUGGAAACGAACCAACGGUUGAUGCAGGCAUUGGAGUCCUUCAUCCUGUCCAUCCACUGCGAAGCCCGGUGGUCCACUUGACGAAUCCAGAGCCCUCCUUCUCCACUGUCGAAUAUCGAGCCACUCUCUCAAACAGCUUCUGACUCACUGUAAACCCCAAGGCAUUUGUUACUCAAAUACUUCUAAUACGUUGGACUCAAAGUCAAUGAAAAGUCCUUAUUACUUAACAUGUUUCUGUUACUGAUUAAAAACUAAAUGAGAAGUCACACCAACAAUUUAAGAUACAGUAUGAUAACAAAUGAACUUUUUUCCCAGCAUGCUCAAUUGCAUGAAGAUUUUUGGAGAAUUGUUUUUAAUGUUUGUGUUUUUUCAUCUACAUUGAGUAAAUGAUUGCAUACAACAAUUAAAAAUAAACUAUUUCUAAGCUAAUCCAAUCAUAUAAUUUUUUGCACCCGUUACUGAAAUGCUGGUUUCAGUUCAAAUGGCUUAGGUAGUUUCCUACAACUUGUUUAACCCUGACAGUCAUUCUGAAUGCAGGUUGUUCUUGUUACAAAUUUCCACAGUUGGCUUGCUGAAUGCUGGCUAAAUUCCAAUAAGAAUAACACUUCACUUUGACUGCCAGCAUAAUGUGUUUUACAGUUAAUGUUUCAAGAAAUUGUUUGUUAAUGUUCUGGAAAAAUGUUUUGGGAAAGUUGGUGCAACCUCAGUUGCAGGCCUGAUGUGGCCUUUAAAUGAACAGUUUGAUUAUUUUGCUGCAACAGGACCACCCACAGUUGAGCACAGCUCAAUGCUGAUUGGCUAUUUUUUACAUUUUUUAUUGGUUCAAUUUUUGGGGAAGCCUGGCUUGCCUUGGGAUUCAUUGAAAUGCCACUGCGUAUUGGAACUGUUUGAUGACAAGCUGCAUAACAUUUUACAGAGCGUGAUAUUAGUCAUAUUUAAAAACAAUUCACCCCCAAAUUAAAGUCUGUUAAAGGAUUUUAGAUAUCAAGAAUAGACUACUGUCAAAUAACAGUGCCUUCAGAAAGUAUUCACACCCCUUGACUUUUUCCACAUUUUGUUGAGUUACAACCUGAAUAAAAAAUGUAUUAAAUGUAUUUUUUUGCCACACAAUACCCC
ensembl:lncRNA